rnacentral:rRNA from 1 species
AACGAACGCUGGCGGCAGGCCUAACACAUGCAAGUCGAACGCCCCGCAAGGGGAGUGGCAGACGGGUGAGUAACACGUGGGAACCUUCCCUAUACUACGGAAUAGCCCAGGGAAACUUGGAGUAAUACCGUAUACGCCCGAGAGGGGAGAGAUUUAUCGGUAUAGGAUGGGCCCGCGUAGGAUUAGCUAGUUGGUGAGGUAAUGGCAGACCAAGGCGACGAUCCUUAGCUGGUCUGAGAGGACGACCAGCCACACUGGGACUGAGACACGGCCCAGACUCCUACGGGAGGCAGCAGUGGGGAAUAUUGGACAAUGGGCGCAAGCCUGAUCCAGCCAUGCCGCGUGAGUGAUGAAGGCCUUAGGGUUGUAAAGCUCUUUUGCCGGGGACGAUAAUGACGGUACCCGGAGAAUAAGUCCCGGCUAACUUCGUGCCAGCAGCCGCCGUAA